rnacentral:lncRNA from 1 species
AGCUGCUGCACUCAACGAGGUUAGUAAAGAACUGAAGUUGAAAAUAAGGGAGAAAGAUCAUACAGAGGAACUGCUAGGCAUUGAAAAUUGUAACCUGGCAAAAGCAUUGCAGUUGGCAGAAGAUGAGUUGAAGACUGUUAAAAGUAUGAUGGAUCAGCUCAAUUUUCAAUUAAAUGUUGGCAAAAAUCUGUUGUCUGGGAAGGACACUGAGCUUGAGGGAAUGGAACAGAAGCUUUAUCUUACUGAAACUGAGAAAGCUGUGUUGCAUCAAAUUUUGAAGAAUGAAGCUGCUGCACUCAAAGAGGGUAGUGAAAAGUUGAAACUGAUAAUAACGGAGAAAGAUCAUAGAGGGGAGCUGUUAGAAAUUGAAAAUUGUAAUCUGGUAAAAGCAUUUCAGUUGGUAGAAGAUGAGUUGAAGACUGUUAAAAGUAUGAAGGAUCAUCUCAAUCUUCAAGUAAAUGUUGGCAAAAAUCUGUUGUCUGAGAAGGACACUGAGCUUCAGGUUAUGGGACAGAAGCUUUACCUUACUGAAACUGAGAAAGCGGUGUUGCAUCAAAUUUUGAUGAGUGAAGUCACUGCACUCAAAGAGGAUAGUGAAGAACUGAAAUUGCAAAUAAAGGAGAAAGAACAGAGAGGGGAACUGCUAGAAAUUGAUAAUUGUA